rnacentral:tRNA from 1 species
ACCUGGGUGGCUCAGUCGGUUGAGCGUCUGACUUCGGCUCAGGUCAUGAUCUCACAGUCUGUGAGUUCGAGCCCCACGUCGGGUU